AUUGAACGCUGGCGGCAGGCCUAACACAUGCAAGUCGAACGGUAACAGGAAGAAGCUUGCUUCUUUGCUGACGAGUGGCGGACGGGUGAGUAAUGUCUGGGAAACUGCCUGAUGGAGGGGGAUAACUACUGGAAACGGUAGCUAAUACCGCAUAACGUCGCAAGACCAAAGAGGGGGACCUUCGGGCCUCUUGCCAUCUGAUGUGCCCAGAUGGGAUUAGCUAGUAGGUGGGGUAACGGCUCACCUAGGCGACGAUCCCUAGCUGGUCUGAGAGGAUGACCAACCACACUGGAACUGAGACACGGUCCAGACUCCUACGGGAGGCAGCAGUGGGGAAUAUUGCACAAUGGGCGCAAGCCUGAUGCAGCCAUGCCGCGUGUAUGAAGAAGGCCUUCGGGUUGUAAAGUACUUUCAGCGGGGAGGAAGGGAGUAAAGUUAAUACCUUUGCUCAUUGACGUUACCCGCAGAAGAAGCACCGGCUAACUCCGUG
rnacentral:rRNA from 1 species